UACGUAGGCAGCAAGCGUUGUUCGGAGUUACUGGGCGUAAAGAGUGCGUAGGUGGUGCCCUAAAUCUGUUGUGAAAUCUCCCGGCUUAACUGGGAGGGUGCGGUGGAAACUGGGGUGCUUGAGUGUGGGAGAGGUAAGCGGAAUUCCUGGUGUAGCGGUGAAAUGCGUAGAUAUCAGGAGGAACACCGGUGGUGUAGACGGCUUACUGGACCACGACUGACACUGAGGCACGAAAGCGUGGGUAGCAAACAGG
rnacentral:rRNA from 1 species